rnacentral:rRNA from 1 species
GAAAUGCCCAUGGGUCAGGAGCUGUCGCUGGCCUUCUGCGCCGUGCACGCUUCCCCCUGUCCCUCUUCAUUUCUCCAUCUAUUUGUGCACUCCCUUGCCAUGGAUCUCUUUGUCUGAGGGCCCUUUCCUUGGAUCAUUAGGACUGCUUUGCGAAUUCCUUUGUUUUCGUGGGCUUUCCUUGCCAUUCCAUGUCUUUCUUCACAUAUAUACCCCAGUGUAACCAUGAAAUAGACCAAUUUUUGAUGCAUAAUACAACUUUCAGCAACGGAUCUCUUGGCUCUCGCAUCGAUGAAGAACGCAGCGAAAUGCGAUAAGUAAUGUGAAUUGCAGAAUUCAGUGAAUCAUCGAAUCUUUGAACGCAUCUUGCGCUCCUUGGUAUUCCGAGGAGCAUGCCUGUUUGAGUGUCGUAAAUAUCUCAACCACACCAUGGUGGUGUGGCUUGGAAUUGGGGGUUUAUGCAGGCUCUUUCUUGUAGCCUGCUCCCCUGAAAUGCAUGAGUGGUCGAACCUCUGUUAGGUGUGAUAAUUAUCUGCAUCUGAUGGAAAGGUCUCAUGGCUGCUGCUAUACCUCGUUGGAGUUGAUAAACUUGACCUCAAAUCAGGUAGGACCACCCGCUGAACUUAA